GAUGGGAGCUUGCUCCCUGAGAUUAGCGGCGGACGGGUGAGUAACACGUGGGCAACCUGCCUAUAAGACUGGGAUAACUUCGGGAAACCGGAGCUAAUACCGGAUACGUUCUUUUCUCGCAUGAGAGAAGAUGGAAAGACGGUUUACGCUGUCACUUAUAGAUGGGCCCGCGGCGCAUUAGCUAGUUGGUGAGGUAAUGGCUCACCAAGGCGACGAUGCGUAGCCGACCUGAGAGGGUGAUCGGCCACACUGGGACUGAGACACGGCCCAGACUCCUACGGGAGGCAGCAGUAGGGAAUCUUCCGCAAUGGACGAAAGUCUGACGGAGCAACGCCGCGUGAACGAAGAAGGCCUUCGGGUCGUAAAGUUCUGUUGUUAGGGAAGAACAAGUACCAGAGUAACUGCUGGUACCUUGACGGUACCUAACCAGAAAGCCACGGCUAACUACGUGCCAGCAGCCGCGGUAAUACGUAGGUGGCAAGCGUUGUCCGGAAUUAUUGGGCGUAAAGCGCGCGCAGGUGGUUCCUUAAGUCUGAUGUGAAAGCCCACGGCUCAACCGUGGAGGGUCAUUGGAAACUGGGGAACUUGAGUGCAGAAGAGGAAAGUGGAAUUCCAAGUGUAGCGGUGAAA
rnacentral:rRNA from 1 species